AGGAAGGAAGGAGGGAGGGAGGGAGUCGGGUGGUAAUUUACCGAGGUUGGUUAUUGUCGGGGUGACGGGUUGGGUGGUGGUAGUCCUGUGUGACGCACCACCAUGUGACGCGGUCCCCCUCCUACUCCUCCUCCCCUCCCUGCUUCUCUCACCUUACCAACGUCCGUACACACACACACUACGUCGUUCCACUCACAGUCCGUUUACAUGUACCGGUGCCUUAUCAGCGAGUGUGUUGUGUGUGAGAGGAAAGAAAUGAUAGUCGCUAACUAAAGCUCGGUCCUCGGCGGCAAGAACUCGACGUAACAGCUAACUUGGGUGGAAGCAGCAAGAAUCGUCAAUAGCAGCAGCUUGCAGUAUGACUACAUCCCCCUCUACUCUUCCCCCUCCCUGUCAGGCCAUGUUGAGCCACCAGCACAUGGCUCACCGCGGUAGGAAACAGUUUCCACCACCACCCAGGCCUGGCUCGACUCCGAGUGGCUAGACCGCUCCCACUGCCUCAUCUGGUCUGGUCGCCACCAACAGCCGCCCCUUAUUCAGUUAGACCCCACCAUCUGCUGUCUUCCUAAACAAGUCCAAAUUAAAUAAACAAUACUGAUAUAAAA